CUACCCUCCCUCUCUCCUAGAAGAGGUUUCCAUUUUGUAUCAUUCCUCUCCUUGCUAGAUGGAGUGCUGUCCUUCUCGCGAGUCACUUCAGAAAGCCAAUGACAUCUUUAAGUUUACUUGGUUGAAUGUUGAUUUCUAAUGAAUUUGGCGUCAGCGAAGGGAUUAGAAGAAGUCAACCACCACUGGCCUUUAGCGACGACUGAGAAACAGACGUGGGGGCCCGAGAACUCCUGAGUUCACCGUGUUUCUGGCCGUUUCCAAGGGCUGUGAUUUCCAUGUACCAACACCAAGAAGUGGUAACGAAGCAUACCGCACUGCUCCUGGAGUCAGAGGAACUUGACCGCACUUUCUCCGUGUGCAGCUAUCAUCAUUUACCUACAUUCCACUUCCACUCCCCCAAACUUUGUAAUUACUACCUUUUCCAUUCAUGGGAGA